CAACAUGCCAGGUAGACUGACUUUAUAACACAUCCAGUCAGCUCUGUAAUUCAACAUGCCAGGUAGACUAACUUUAUAACACAUCCAGUCAGCUCUGUAUUUCAACAUGCCAGGUAGACUGACUUUAUAACACAUCCAGUCAGCUCUGUAUUUCAACAUGCCAGGUAGACUGACUUUAUAACACAUCCAGUCAGCUCUGUAAUUCAACAUGCCAGGUAGACUGACUUUAUUACACAUCCAGUCAGCUCUGUAAUUCAACAUGCCAGGUAGACUGACUUUAUAACACAUCCAGUCAGCUCUGUAAUUCAACAUGCCAGGUAGACUGACUUUAUAACACAUCCAGUCAGCUCUGUAUUUCAACAUGCCAGGUAGACUGACUUUAUCCAGAAUGACUUACAGGAGCAAUUAGGGUUGAGUGCCUUGCUCAAGGGCACAGCGACAGAUUUUUCACCUAGUCGGCUCGGGGAUUCAAUCCAGCAACCUUUAGGUUACUGGCCCAUGUUCUUAACCACUAGGCUACCUGCUGAAGCUGGUUUAUAUAGACAAAGAACCAUAGUAGUAGUAUUUCACAUACUGCUAGAUAUCUAACUUACAUGAUGUAUAACAGUCAUUUACAAAAAUGUCAUGCCAUCUAGAAUAAUUAUGGUGUUAACUUGCUUGAAAGAACCAGACUAUAGGGAAGUAGUGCACUACAGUGGCAAGAAAAGUAUGUGAACCCUUUGGAUUUCUGCAUAAACUGGUCAUAAAAUUAGAUCUGAUCUUCAUCUAAGUCACAACAACAGGCACACAGUCUGCUUAAACUAAUAACACACAUGGUUAUAUUUUUGGAUAAAGU
ensembl:lncRNA